rnacentral:misc_RNA from 1 species
AUCAGUUCUAGUAUUGCCGGACCGGCAACCCCAUCGUCCUCCGGUCGAGGUGAAGUUUCGCCGACGACAGACGGUGGAGGAUGGCCGGUCUGAUGGAACUGGGUCUCUCUGGAACAUUCAUAAGAGGUCAAGAAUGCUGGUUGAUGUCUAAAAAAGGGGGGAAAACAUGUUGUGAAGGGAUCAUACCAGACCUGCGGGCGCUAGG